GUACUGAUGAAGAGUCCCAGCCUAGGAUGAAACAGCUGUCCAGUAC
rfam:Trichobilharzia regenti genome assembly, scaffold: TRE_scaffold0077281